rnacentral:rRNA from 1 species
CGGCUGAGGCCUCUUCAUGAAAGCAGAAGUAAAAUUGAAGCUGACUUCACCGUUGGCUUUCUUUUUUGUUGAAGUUAGAUUGUUGGGGUGUUUUCAUCGACUUUCUCGUCGCAUAAAACAACUGACUCAGAACUGAAGCGGACAAGGGGAAUCCGACUGUUUAAUAAAAACAUAGCUUUGUGAUGGCCUGAAAAGGUGUUGACACAAAGUGAUUUCUGCCCAGUGCUUUGAACGUGAAUAUGAAGUAAUUUGUAGAAGCUCAGGUAAACGGCGGGAGUAACUAUGACUCUCUUAAGGUAGCCAAAUGCCUCGUCAUCUAAUUAGUGACGCGCAUGAAUGGAUCAAUGAGAUUCCCACUGUCCCUAUUUACUAUUUAGCGAACCCACAGUCAAGGGAACGGGCUUGAAAUAAUCAGCGGGGAAAGAAGACCCUGUUGAGCUUGACUCUAGUCCGACUUUGUGAAAUG